UCCGGCAUGGUGUAGUGGUUAACAUCGCUGUCUCUCACACAGCAGCCCGGGGUUCGAUUCCCCGUACCGGAA
rnacentral:tRNA from 1 species